rnacentral:rRNA from 1 species
CCUACGGGAGACUGCAGUGAGGAAUAUUGGUCAAUGGGCGCGAGCCUGAACCAGCCAAGUCGCGUGAGGGAAGACGGUCCUAUGGAUUGUAAACCUCUUUUGUCGGGGAGCAAAAGACGCCACGCGUGGCGUUCCGAGAGUACCCGAAGAAAAAGCAUCGGCUAACUCCGUGCCAGCAGCCGCGGUAAUACGGAGGAUGCGAGCGUUAUCCGGAUUUAUUGGGUUAAAAGGGUGCGCAGGCGGAAGAUCAAGACAGCGGUAAAAUUGAGAGGCUCAACCUCUUCGAGCCGUUGAAACUGGUUUGCUUGAGUGAGCGAGAAGUAUGCGGAAUGCGUGGUGUAGCGGUGAAAUGCAUAGAUAUCACGCAGAACUCCGAUUGCGAAGGCAGCAUACCGGCGCUCAACUGACGCUCAUGCACGAAAGUGUGGGUAUCGAACAGGAUUAGAUACCCUUGUAGUC